CCUGAGCACUUGGCAGGCGCAGACAAAUGCCCCCGCGGGCACCGUGUUGGGGACCACGGCUCUAGUGCCUACCCUCCCCGUGCUCCGGGGGCCAGGGAGGCUGGAGCCGCCGUACGGCCUCCUCCCUCCUCUGGGGAGGCGGAAACCGAGCUGCAUGGCCUCCUCCCAUCCCAGUGCUCCAGGGGCCGGGAAGGCUGCAGUGCAUGCACAUGCCACUUCCAUCUCUUCCCGUGGGGGCGCUGCCUCACCUCCUCCCCUCCCCAUGGGGGCAGGGCCUCAGCAAAGGAGGUGGGGUUAGGUGGGGUUGGGGACCUGUCUCCCUCAGCCCCAUCUGCACUAACUGACCAUGGUAAUUUCCAUUGUGGAUCUGGACCAUAGUAACUGGCUUACAUCUUGAAUCAUGACAAGAGAUUUUAUUUCUCAUACAGUAUAUCUUUAUCUUAGGCAACAAAUGUUUGUGGCUUACCAUAAAGAUAAGAGAUGUGUGUUUGGUGAAGACUACCUCAAGUGACUGGUCAUUUUGGUGACUAGGGGAAUUAAUCCUAGACUAUAGGGGCAGAGAAGAGAGAAAGCCCUAAGACUCCCUGCUGGACCUUGCUUGUGGGGAAGAAAUUCAUCUAGAAGUGGCUGCGUGUGCUGCUGCUCCCCCUCCCCGGCUGGGGGAACAACAGCACAGGAAUGUGCUUUCCUGGAGGCUUUUCCCACUGCUCUGGAAUCCGGCCAAUAGGAGCAGCGGGAGGCGGUGCCUGGGGCAUGAUGUUGGGAGCUGCGCAAAAGCAAGUAAGUGGCCCCCCUUCUCCUCAUGCCCAAACCCCACAUCCCCAGCCCACUCACUCACCGCCUCCAUCAAGACCCCGCAGCCCACUCAUUCACUGCCUCCAUUCAGAUCCCGCACCCCCAACCUGCUCACUCACCACCUCCACCAAGACCUGCUCAUUCACCACCUCCACCAAGAUCCUGCACCCCAGCCCGCUCGCUCAGCACCCUGCCAACAUCCUGCACCUCCAGCGUGCUCACAAAUCAGAAAAAAAUCCUUUGUCAGAUCACGUGUCCCAAUUUUGGUUUGGAAAAUAGGUUCACCGUAACUAUAGGUCAAAUGAGGAAGUGAAAGCAAAGAGAUGUCAUAGUGUAGUCUCCUAAAAAUCUCUCUGUACACUUUGUCCACUGGGAGCACAAAUUAAAUAUAAGAUAUCCAGUUCACUCCAUUGCUGUGUUAUGCAAUAUGCUUAGUAAAUCUGUGCCAGGAUUGUGCCUGUGGGGAGAGCUGUGACAG